rnacentral:rRNA from 1 species
CCUACGGGUGGCAGCAGUGAGGAAUAUUGGUCAAUGGGCGGAAGCCUGAACCAGCCAAGUCGCGUGAGGGAAUAAGGCCCUACGGGUCGUAAACCUCUUUUGCCGGGGAGCAAGGGCGGGGACGUGUCCCGGCCCGGAGAGUACCCGGAGAAAAAGCAUCGGCUAACUCCGUGCCAGCAGCCGCGGUAAUACGGAGGAUCCGAGCGUUAUCCGGAUUUAUUGGGUUUAAAGGGAGCGUAGGCGGGUUGUUAAGUCAGUUGUGAAAGUUUGCGGCUCAACCGUAAAAUUGCAGUUGAUACUGGCAUCCUUGAGUACAGUAGAGGUAGGCGGAAUUCGUGGUGUAGCGGUGAAAUGCUUAGAUAUCACGAAGAACUCCGAUUGCGAAGGCAGCCUGCUGGACUGUAACUGACGCUGAUGCUCGAAAGUGUGGGUAUCAAACAGGAUUAGAUACCCCUGUAGUC